GUAGUAUGUUUUAACGGCGUUAUUAACAUCUAUUGUAUUCAAGUUUUGCUCUCUUUUUAAUAAAUAUCUCUGUUGGAUUGCAAUUAAAUUUUAUAUUUUAUUCCUGCUUUUAUAUAUUUUAUGAUAUCUAUCAUGCUUAAUUAGAAUAUAGACAAAAUUCGUGUACUGUGUGUUAAGCGUUACUGUUUACUAACAGAAGUCUUGAAUAAAAAUAAGGUCAUUUGCAUGGAUGAUUUACCAUAUGAAUAUAAUUGGACGAAUUGGUUUGAAGCGCUAAAAGAAAUAGCAAGAAAAAUUCUGUUCUGCUUUUAAAAAAAUCACAAGAAACGCAGCCGUUGAGAUUUCUAAUAAACGAUUAUGUAACAGGAAAUAAUCCACAACGAAAAAAAAAUUGUGGAGAAUUUAAUGCAAAUCAUGAUUGAACCGGAAGUGUUGUGGGAAUUCUCUGUAUACGGUUUCCUCAACGGGUGCAUGAUAACACUCUUUUAUAUUUACCUUUGUCUUUAGUAUUGGAAUUCUCGUGCACGUUAAUAUUGCGUCCAAUAUGGAAGAAACGGUUUUGGAUACGUUGGAGAAUGAUAGCAUAAUACUAGAAGACGUGCAAGAAAAACUUUCAAGAUUGCUCCAAAGAUACCAGCAGACCCUGCGCGAAAAUUACCCGGCAACUUGAUUUUAUCUACGUGACUCGCGCCAUAUGAAUCUUACAUUCUAUUCAUUUUUGAGGUAUCGUUCGUGGCGUUUGUACUUGGUCAUUUGCAUGGAUGAUUUGCUGUAUGAACUGGAUAAAUUGGUCUGAAGUAAGAAGAAAUAGCAAGAAAGAUUCUGUUCUGCCUUCAAAAAAUUACAAGAAUCACAACCACUGACAUUUCUAAUAAACGUUUAUGUAACGGAAAAUAAUCCACAACGUACGAAA